CAUUAGAAAGCUAGACCGGGAAUAGCGUUAGCCUUUUAAGCUAAAGAUCGGUGGGUCCCAACCACCUCUAGUGA
rnacentral:tRNA from 1 species